GGGCCAUAGCUCAGUGGUAGACCAUCUGCUUUGCAUGUGGGAGGUCCCAGUUUCAAUUCCUGGCAUCUCCA